rnacentral:rRNA from 1 species
CCUACGGGAGGCAGCAGUGAGGAAUAUUGGUCAAUGGACGAGAGUCUGAACCAGCCAAGUAGCGUGAAGGAUGACUGCCCUAUGGGUUGUAAACUUCUUUUAUAUGGGAAUAAAAUGUUCCACGUGUGGGAUUUUGUAUGUACCAUAUGAAUAAGGAUCGGCUAACUCCGUGCCAGCAGCCGCGGUAAUACGGAGGAUCCGAGCGUUAUCCGGAUUUAUUGGGUUUAAAGGGAGCGUAGGUGGAUUGUUAAGUCAGUUGUGAAAGUUUGCGGCUCAACCGUAAAAUUGCAGUUGAAACUGGCAGUCUUGAGUACAGUAGAGGUGGGCGGAAUUCGUGGUGUAGCGGUGAAAUGCUUAGAUAUCACGAAGAACUCGGAUUGCGAAGGCAGUUCACUGGACUGCAACUGACACUGAGGCUCGAAAGUGUGGGUAUCAAACAGGAUUAGAUACCCCUGUAGUC